ACCAUAUAAAGAAAUUACGACAACCCUUUCGAUUGAAUUUGUUUCUUCAGUUGAAUUGUAGUAUAUGCUUAAUAAUGGUUAUGUUUACAUCUUGGUUAGACCCAUCAUAAAGCCGCUCGUACUCGUAAUUGUUGUUGAAUGGAUUGUAAAGAAGACUGUACAAAAUUCACUGCAUUUUUAACGUGUUUUCGAAAUAACUAAUCAAACUAUCAAAAAGAUAACGUAUCAACACUAAACCGCACUACUUUAUAAAUUGCACAUCGGGUUGCUUCUUAGCUAGACGGAAAGACAAUGCUGACCUUGUCUUCAUAAUUGUUUACAAUCUUCCACCAUUCAUCUACUCAUUAAUCAGUAGUAAUGUAUUAAAAUAAACAAUUUCUAUUUUUUAAUUAUACAAACAAUUUCCUAUUCUGAAUCUAAAUGUAACAGUUGUAUCGCAUUUGGCAUUUCUUUUUUGUAAUCCAGCAACCGAAAAUUCAAUCAAAUCAAUGUGACCAUGGCGAAUUGGAUAUAAAAUAACAAAGAUUAAGGUGGAAACUUCAACUUUAUCAGCGACUAUCAUUAUAGUCAACAAGUAGACAAACUAAUAAUAUAAAGACUAACAAGUCUUGGGGGUAUAAACUAAUAAUACAUAUGUCUUGCCUCAUUUAAAAAUGGUAAAAGCAAGGAACCGUUCACGGCUUAUAUCGAUAAACAUUCUAAAGCAGGGGAACCAAUGUGUUGAAACUGGUAAUAAAAAGAGGGAUGGGGGUGGUAAAAGAAUUCCAAUAAUCGAAAUUCCUUAGAAAAAUAAAAAU